UCCCUGGUGGCUCAGACAGUAAAGCAUCUGCCUGCAAUGCGGGAGACCCAGGUUUGAUUCCUGGGUCUGGAA
rnacentral:tRNA from 1 species